CUGUCUAUAACCGCACUUUUUCCUCUCAGUUGCUGGUUAGAAUUAUUUUGCAAGUUGGAAAAUAUGCAGUUUUAUUUCAUUUGCACCAAUGUAAUAGAUUAAUUAGGAGACAGUAAAUCUCUUUAAAAGUGAGCCUUCUUAUACAACAACAGUUUUAACUGAGGUGGUACCAGUUUAAGAAGUGAGACCUCUUAGAUGCUGGCAUUUCUAGAUCCAAAUUCUAGUCUUGUUUAUCAUUUCUGUGGAGUUUAUCUUCAAAAAUGCUGCAUCUUCCAUAAGCAAGGACCAAAGAGAUUGUGAAUGCAGG